AUUGAACGCUGGCGGCAGGCCUAACACAUGCAAGUCGAGCGGAUGACGGGAGCUUGCUCCUUGAUUCAGCGGCGGACGGGUGAGUAAUGCCUAGGAAUCUGCCUGGUAGUGGGGGACAACGUUUCGAAAGGAACGCUAAUACCGCAUACGUCCUACGGGAGAAAGCAGGGGACCUUCGGGCCUUGCGCUAUCAGAUGAGCCUAGGUCGGAUUAGCUAGUAGGCGAGGUAAUGGCUCACCUAGGCGACGAUCCGUAACUGGUCUGAGAGGAUGAUCAGUCACACUGGAACUGAGACACGGUCCAGACUCCUACGGGAGGCAUGAGUGGGGAAUAUUGGACGAUGGGAGAAAGCCUGAUCCAGCCAUGCCGCGUGUGUGAAGAAGGUCUUCGGAUUGUAAAGCACUUUAAGUUGGGAGGAAGGGCAGUAAGCUAAUACCUUGCUGUUUUGACGUUACCGACAGAAUAAGCACCGGCUAACUCUGUGCCAGCCGCCGCCGUAAUAC
rnacentral:rRNA from 1 species